GGAAGACAUGUUUGGUCGCUGUG
rnacentral:siRNA from 1 species